GUUUCCUUUAUAAAUUACUCAGUCUCUGGUAUUCCUUUAUAGCAGUGUGAAAAUGGACUAAUAUACUUGCCCUUCAUCCCAACGAUGGAUUUAAGACUAGAGACAUUUCAAAUAGUAGGUUUUUUGCCAAAUGCCUUUCGCUGUAGAAAUUCUAUACAUGGCCUUUGUCUGUUACACUGGAAGUCCUGCCACUUCUUAGAUGGUGGAGAUUAAAACAGCGAUUUCUUGUGGUGGUGGCGGGGCUGGGGUUGGGAACAUUGAGGAUAAGGUGGGAGCUGCCCAUCUCAGACACUACUGAGAUAGUGGGAUGGGCCACAUAAAUGUCUAUGGAAGAGAUGCCUUUGCCAUACAAUUCCUUCAACAAAUACUCAUUGAUCACACACCAUAUCUGGGGGUGUAGCUGAGAACAAAACAAAGCUCCUGUUUUGAGGAGCUUUAGGCUGUAGAGAAAACAGAAAAUAAACAAGCAAGCAAAUGGAUGUUUUUAAGUGGCAAAAGUGCUAUAAAGGAAACAAGUAGUGGGAUGAGAUGAGGGGAGGAGAACUUCAGGUAAGGUGGCAUCAGAGCAGGAAGCUGAACUGAGGGUGAGUGAGCUGAGCUCAACAGAAAGGACUGUUGGACUGAGCCAGCCACAUGGAGAUCUGGAGAAGGGAAGAGGGCACUACCAUUUUGUUUUUGUUUUUUAUUGGAUUUAAGACGUCACUAUUGUACCUCUAAAAGAAAAAAAAAAACUGUAAUUAUAAUUGUAAAUUACAAAAUUGAUUGUAAAACACAUUUUGAUAACAAUGAAUUAAAAUAUGUUAAAUUACAUGCCUUAGCAUCAAUAUAUUAGUUCAAAAGCCCAGAAGUGUUAAACAAGCUUAGUGCUUAUCUAAGCAACUGAAAAGAAUCUGAUAUGUUUAUAGUUGGUGAAUGACAGAGAAAAAGAUAUGAGGUUUCAGGGGGGCAAAAGGAUAAAUCUUGAGGUCUUAGUUUAAUUAAAAACGGGUGAUGAUACCAUUUACUGAGAUAGGAGAGAUUUCAGGUUGCCAAGAUGUCAAUUUCAGACAUAUUUUAUAUAUGUUAAGUGACAAUUAAGAGAAGGAGGGUUAAAAGGAGACUUAAGAUUCAGUGAAAACUCAAGGUUUAUGAAGACUUUUGCUCCAUAUCCAUCAGGAAACCAGAAAUCCCUGAAAUUAAUAGCUGAAUAAAUAGAAUAAGGUCAACAUUAUUUUUAACACAUAUUUUUAUGUCAUAUGCAUACUAUGUCACCAUAAUCAGUAAACUGUUAAAGUGCCAGAAAAUGCUUCUACAUCAUUUUCAUUCUGACAGGAAGUAGAUAGAAAUGGCAUGUAUCUACGAAGCCAAGUUCUUUCAAAAUUUACAGCUUAAUUUCUCCAAUUGUUUAGAGUGAUAAAUUUUUCACUGAGGCCAUUGACCAGCACAAUAAUUGUGUCUACACAGCAUGUUUAUAUCAAAUACCAUUGCAUCUGUUAUGUCCUGUUCAUGCUGUGACCUUCCCAGAAGGCAGUUAGGGAUUGAAACUAGUACGCACAAUAGUGUAGAUCAGAAAACUGAUGUCAGGCUCUAGUGACAUGUGUAGGUACUGGCAGAACUGGAAUUAGAACCAGAUUUCUACAGUUGCACCCCUGGUUCUUUGCUCCAAAUGCUAAAGCCCUUGGUUAUUUGAUUUUCCUGUUGUCUUUAUCCUAUCCCCAGGCUCUAUUUGGGUUUCUGUAGUGAAAUUAAGGAUAACCUCAUCUGCAUGCUGUACUUUCUUAAAUAGAUUUUUCUAAUCUCCCAUACUCCCACAACCAUAAAUGACAAAAUACAAGCAUGCUUAGGAUCAUUGUGCCCCACAAUAAAAAAAGCUGUUGCUAUGUUUUGGAAACAGAUCAAUCUUGGUAUUUAAGUGUUGUUUGAACAAAGAUUAACUGAGCCUGUUCUCCUCCCCCAGGUACUCAGACCCAGAACAUACUGUUUUCACUCCAAGAGUCUGAAUGUCUCUUUUCUGAGAAAGAUGAAGAAAAAGUACUUUUUUCAUGAAUUUAAUACUCAUUAAAGUCAAUAGUCGGAAAGCCUGGCUAAUUAGCAGACUUCUUCAGAGGACUUUAAAUAAUAUAGUUACUGUAUUUUUAUUAUAUUGAAAUCUCCAAAUAUAUAAAGUUAGAAUCUUCAAGGUGGGAGGAAGAGGAGAAAUUGGAUUUCUCUAAGCUCCCUAGUGAUUCUGAUGAUGACUCAUUUGGGGAAGUGCAGCAUUGAAUGGCCCUUCUAAAAUGAGGACAGCUAUUUUUUGGACUAAGCACCCCUCCCGACUCUCCCCAUUCCUCAUCCUCUCAGAGACUUCUCUCUCUCAGAUUGCCCCAUCUGUCUCAUGUAUUAUAAUCACUUCCCCUCUACUGGUUUCUUCUCAUACGUUUAACUUGUUCAAGUGCCUUCCAUCUUUAAAAACAGUCAAGGCACAGCCCUUGAUUUAACCAUAGGAAGCCCGCUCCCCACCACCCUGCCAUCAGCUCUCUUCUUCCUGUGUAGUGAGCACUGCUUCUUUGAGCUUCUGAAAGCUGUAGUCACUGCCUCUUGCUGGUAACUGAAAGCACAUUUCUAAGUUCGCAUAUUCCCUGACUUCUUGACAGCACUCAUGACUCGCCAUCUCCUUUUCUGGAACACUGUUUGCUUGGCUUUCACAAUAUCAUGCUUUUCUAGUUCUUUUUCCUGUUUUGGACACUGCUUUACAGAGAAUUAACAUUCCUCUUUUUCCCGCUGACCCUGAAUCAAGAAAGAAUCAUGUUUCUUUCUUUAUUUUUUAUAUCUUAACUUUUGAGGGGUAGAUUUUCAAGCAUACAUAAAAGUGAAGAGAACAGGAUAAUGAACUAGGUGUACACAUGACUGCAUCUUAUCAGUGCAAUACACACUCAUAUUACUUUUUCUAUACUUCAUCCAUUUUCUCCCUGCUCCCUGACUUGGAUCAAAUCCCAGACAUUACAUUAUUUAACCUGCAAAUAUUUCAUCAUAUAUAUGUGGGAAUAUAUAGAUCUCUAUCACUAUAUAUAGUGAGAAUUUCUUUCAAAGAAAAGAUAAUCACAAUAUUAUAAUCUCAUCAAAUGUAGUUGUUAUAAUUCCUUAAUGUCAGUCUAAUAACAAUCCUGUUUUCACAAUUUCUUCUCUUGUAGAUUUUUAAAAAUUAAUUUUGUUGAAUUGAAAUCUAAAUAAGAUACAGAGAUAAAGAUUCAUUGACAUGUCCCUUAAGUAUUUUAGUUUAUAGGCUGUCCUACUAUAUUCCCUGCCUCUUCUUGCAUUUUAUCUUGAUUCAGUUGAAAACUCUGGGUCAUUUGUCUUAUAAAGUUCAUGGGGUCUGCAAUUUGGUGAAGGUGUCCUUUUGGCAUUAUUUAACAUGCGUCUCUGUUCCUUGUAUUUUCUAGAAAUUAUUGGUUAUAUCUAGAGGUUUGAUCAGAUUUAGGUGAAAUUAUAAAAAGAUUCCGUCAUAGGUGAUUUUGUGAAGUUCCAUCAGAAGGUACCCAUCUGGUUUUCUCUCCUUUUGUGAUGCUAGCAGCCACUGAAUAUGGUAAUCUACUCCAAUCAUUAACUAAAUUUCUUUUCUGGAAUUAUUCCAAAAGAGAAACUUUUUUCAUCAUGCAUUUGGUUGUCCUGAGGUAUGAUUGUAUAGGAAAAACAGGAUAACCUACUGAUACUUUCUGUUUAAACUAGUAUUCAAAAUAAUAAAAGUAGUCCCCUAGUAUUAUCUAAAGAUUUCAAAAGACUUUUAAAAAAAUUAUUGAUGAUUUUAUGAGCUCAGGGAUUAAACAUAGUCAAUCUGUUUCAAUCCCUUGCAGUUAUUCCAAUUAAUAAUCAAAUUUUCCUGCCUUUGGCUUGCGGCAGCGUAUUCAUGUUGAAUUCUGGGUCACUUUGACAUGACUCCAGUUGUCUUUGAUGGUAUCCUUUUUGUGACAAAAUGUCCCAGGAUUAUAAUUUCCUGUCCCAUACUGGGAAACAGCCAGUUCUCCAAAGAGCUCUGGAACCAUUCAGUGAGAAAUGUAUUUAGAUGCAACAUUCUGGGUGCUAAGCAUGCCCAUUAACCUGAUCAAUCUCACGUCUUUCCUUUCUUUCAGCAUUGCCAGAAAACUCAUUUCUCAGUGACACCAUUGUAAUUACUCAUUUGAUUAUCCCGCAAUACACAUAUAAGAGUCUCAGGAAAACAGUACCAUCAGCAUUAUAUGGUAAUAUCUACAAGCACUUUAAUAUUUUCUUAUUGGGGGUACACUUUUUUCCAUAGAGAAUAUUUUACUAGGUAAGAACAAUAAUAUUGAUAUGUUUUAAUUUUUCUUGAAGUGGUUCUUCUGUAUGAGGUUAUAUCACCAAGUAGAUAUACAGUUAUAAUGUUUGAUUAUUACACAUUGCUUUUCUUAAAAUUUAAUUUUGUUUUAAAGCUAUUAAAAUCAGGUUUCUUAAAGAAAGAUCCUCAUUCUAUCUGGAUCAAAAUCACUUUCAGAGCUAAUUAAAAAUGUGGUGUCCUGGACUCACGAAGCCAGAAUUGCUGAGGAGAUAGCCCGAGAAUCUGAAUUUUUAGCAGACAUUUUUUUAGGUACCUUACCCGCAGGAUCAUUUCUGUGAAUAUCCAUGAGGUGAAAAAGUCUGGGAAACACUGUCCUAGGGUGUGGGGAAGAGCGAGAAAAAGAUUUCCGCUCUGGAAGGUAAACAAAUACUCUCUGGAGAGAGAAGAGGAAUGUCCCUAGCAGAUGUCUCCAGAGAAGACAAGACUUUAAAUUCCGCCAGGGAAAUAUACAAUGUCUAACUUCUAAGGCACAUUUGCCAUUCAAUCAUGCUUUAACCCACGUUGCCAGAAAUUUUUGCUCACUAGGUUUUGACUGUACAGGAAUGUGAAAAUAUUCAUGAAGAGUUGUUUUCCAAUGCUAAAGAAUUGAUGUGUUUUAACAGUUGAAUUAAUUGUAUUGAUUAUGAUCACACCUACUUUUUAUAUAUCUUCAUUUCUAACGUUUCUGUACAAUCCUGCCUUUCCACCUGAUAUAGUUAGGCCUUGUGUCAUCAACCAAAUCUCAUCUUGAAUUGUAAUCGCCAUAAUCCCCACGUAUUUAGGGAGAGACCUGGAGGGAGGUGUUUGGAUCAUGGGGGCGGUUUCCCGCAUGCUGUUCUCAUGACCAUGAGAGUAAGUUCUCAAGAGAUCUGAUGGUUUUAUAAGCGUCUGUCAUUUCCACUGCUUGCACUUCUGUGUCCUGCCACCUUGUGAAGAAGGACGUGGUUGCUUCCCCUUCCACCAUGAUUGUGUUUCCUGAGGCCUCCCCAG
rnacentral:lncRNA from 1 species